rnacentral:rRNA from 1 species
AGUGGAUGCCUUGGCACUUAUGGAUGGGACGUUUGAAUCACGAAAAGCCAUAUUAAAGUUGAAAUAUGGAUUUCCCAAAGAAAACUAGAAGAAAAAUAAACCUGUGAUUAUAAACUUUAACGUAGCAGGAAAAAACUAACAAAGGAAACCUUAGUAGUAGAGAAUGAAAAGGUUCAUACAAAGAAUUAUGUUUUUGUACGCGCAUAGCGUAAAUAAUGAGAGCUUUAUUUAGCGUAAUCAAAAGAAUAAAAUUGCAAACUUUUGGAAAAAAGUGCCAAAGAAGGUGACAGCCCUGUACAGAAAUUCUUAUUCAAAAAUUUCAAAUUUUAAUUAAGUGGAACGUGAUUGGUUUACCAAUCACGUUCCCCGUGUAAACACGUGCGAACCACCCACGUAUUUAAGAAACCAUAAGUGACCUAUAGUGAACAAGUACCGUGAGGGAAAGGUGAAAAGAACAACAAUAAAGAUUGUAGUGAAAUAGAUCUGAAACCCAAUGCAACCAUACAGUUAAACUUGUCAAAGUUUAGCGUGCCUUUUGCAACAUGAGCGAGCAAGUCUUCAAAUGUAGCAAGCUUAAGUCAGUAGACGUAGGCA